UACGGGGGGGGCAAGCGUUGCUCGGAAUUACUGGGCGUAGAGGGCUCGUAGGUGGCCAACUAAGUCAGACGUGAAAUCCCUCGGCUUAACCGGGGAACUGCGUCUGAUACUGGAUGGCUUGAGAUUGGGAGAGGGAUGCGGAAUUCCAGGUGUAGCGGUGAAAUGCGUAGAUAUCUGGAGGAACACCGGUGGCGAAGGCGGCAUCCUGGACCAACACUGACACUGAGGAGCGAAAGCCAGGGGAGCAAACGGG
rnacentral:rRNA from 1 species